rnacentral:rRNA from 1 species
UACGUAGGGUCCGAGCGUUGUCCGGAAUUACUGGGCGUAAAGAGCUCGUAGGUGGUUUGUCGCGUUGUUCGUGAAAACUCACAGCUCAACUGUGGGCGUGCGGGCGAUACGGGCAGACUUGAGUACUGCAGGGGAGACUGGAAUUCCUGGUGUAGCGGUGGAAUGCGCAGAUAUCAGGAGGAACACCGGUGGCGAAGGCGGGUCUCUGGGCAGUAACUGACGCUGAGGAGCGAAAGCGUGGGGAGCAAACAGG